GGCUCUUCAGGCAGAGAGCAGCCUGAGCUGUGGGAUAUGCUCUGAGAACAGGGAAUGGCCUAUCUCAGCUGAAGAGGAAGAAGUAUGGGGCUGAAGAGAUGAGAAAGGCAGAAAGGGAUUCUGUAGUCGGAGUAUGAAGGUCUUGAUUGAGGAAUUUGUAUGUGAUCUGGCAGGCACCGGGGAGCUACUGAAGGCUGUAGAGCAGGGGAGUGUCAGGAAUUGAACAACGACUGGACUAAGUCUGUGACCCGGACAGCUCUUCUUCAAAUUCUGUGACUGUGUGGGGUGGUGAAUACCCCAGCGGGGGAAUGGGGAAGGGAGCUUGCCUCUCUGGCAAGGCAUAUUCACUCACUGCUGGGAGAGAUGAGGCUGCAGGGGGUGGGUCUGGGCAAUUUUCAUGGGCAUCCUCUUUUUUUUUUUUUUUUUUGAGACGGAGUCUCACUCUUUCGCCCAAGCUGGACUGCAGUGGCGCUAUCCCGGCUCACUGCAAGCUCCGCCUCUUGGGUUCAUGCCAUUCUCCUGCCUCAGCCUCCCGAGUAGCUGGGAUUACAGGCGCCCACCACCACGCCCGGCUAAUUUUUUGUAUUUUUAGUAGAGACGGGGUUUCACCGUGUUAGCCAGGAUGGUCUCGAUCUCCUGACCUCGUGAUCCGCCCGCCUCGGCCUGCCAAAGUGCUGGGAUUACAGGCGUGAGCCACCGCGCCCGGCCGGGCAUCCUCUUUAAAGGUAAAACUUCAGGCGAAAUGUGUGACUCAGCACUGUCUUUGAGCAUGUAGUGUGUGCUCAGCCUGGGACCCCUCACCCCCACCAGCAGUCAUGCCAGCGGGGGACUUAACAGAAGAGGGGACUGGCCUUCCCUGGGGUUGAGCGCCCUGACCGAGGUCACACAGCUGGUGAGCAGGGAGACCGGGAUCCUGCCACCUCCGCUAGGUGCAAACCCUGUGCUGAGCCCUAAGAGCUACCACGGGAGGCCACCAUCCGCUGAGCUCCUGCUGCACUGCGGCCCGGCUCUAGCAUUUUCUAUGUCUUAACUCAGUUCCUUCUCACCCCAACCCCAUGGGGCGGUGCUGAGAUUCUCCCCGUCUUAUAGAAGGGGAAGUUAAGGCAAGGAGAGGUUAGAAGAGCCAGCAAGGGGGCCACACGGCCAGUAGGCGGCGCUGAGUGUGUUGCAGCAGGUCCCACGGAAGAAGCAAAGUUGUGGGAGCCCUACUUCCUGCGGAGCCCCUCCCCCACCUCCCUGCCAUCCACUUCCUGCUGCUGACCUAGGAUUGCUGGCAAUAAAACCGCAAGAGUGUGCAUGGAGGAGGCCCUUAACAUCCACACUGUCACUUAACUUUUACAACCUCCACAUGAUCGAUAUGACAGAUAUUUAUCCUGUUCUUCUCUCUAACAGAUGUGAGGGAGUCUUGGCCCAAAGAACUUCAGUCACUUGCCCGGGACUCACAGUGAGUUGUGGAGCCUUGAGAAGUCCAGGGUGGCCCCACGGCAAAGUGGGGGGCUCCCUGCCUUAUAAGGCACAAGGCGGAGCUCAGAGGGGGCCCAGAGUUGGCCCACACUGCUCCAGAAUCGGGGUCACACUCAGGUCUCCCAAGUCCUGGACUGUGUUCACCCUGCCCUGCUGCUCGAACUUUUCAAUAACUGCCACUUUGAGAUGGGCUGACUUGACGUACCCUCUCCUUAAAACUGUGAAAUGUUUUUUUCAAACUGAAGGAAACUCCCAGGCCCCUGCCCACUCAUGCCAACGGUGGCUCACACACAGGUGAUUCUCAAUGUCAGUCACCAUCCCUCAUUACAUCCCAGCCCUGUGAGGCAGGCAAAGUGUCAUGCCCAUUUCAUAGAUGGGGAAACUGAGGUUCAAAGAGGCCUGCUGUUUGCCCCUGGGCAUUUAGCAGUGCCUGGCAGAGCUGGGAAUCACCUGGGCUGUUGAGCGCUGUGUCUUGGGUGUAGCCCCUGAAUCGCCGUGCCAGUUUCUUUGGUUUGAGACCUUUACUGGCUCUGUAGCCUCUGACUGGCUCAGGCCUUGGACCUGGGCACCUCUCAGAUGGUUCCUCCUCAGCCCCUUCGAAGACUCCUCUCCCCUCUUCCCUGUUCCCUGGCCCAUCCUUAAAUGCUGGUGGCCCCUUCUCCUUGAGGUCUACACCCUCUGCCUUAGUUUGCUGCCCCCGCAGCACUUCUAGGGCCCUCUUGCUGAUGUGGGUUCGAGGAACUAAUAACCUUCCGAUGUCGCUGGCAGCAGGGAGGCCCCCACAGCCUGUCUAGAAAACAGUGAGGGGAAGUGUAGCACAAGGCUUCAUAUACCCCUCCCCUUUAGCCAGUAACUGUUUCCAGAAAUUCCGUUUCUAGGGAAAUAAUCUGAAAGAAACAAAGUGUUCCCUGCAUGAAGAUGUUUAUCAUAGGGUGAAGAGGAGACAACAGCCAGAUGCAACAAUAGGGAAGGGUUUUCUCCUACCUACUCCUGCGCGAGCUGGUGACCUCUGGGGCUCACUGGGUGCCGGACACUGUUCUCCAGCCUCUAUAUUAUUCGCUCCUUUAAUCCUUGUAACAACUUUUUGAAACAGGUACUAGUAACAUCCCCUUUGACAAGUGAAGAAACCGAGGCUUGGCAAGGUUAAUCAGCGUGCCCAAGGUCAGCCAGCUCCCUGAAGUCUGACUCUACCAGCCUCAACCGUUACCAGGGCGGCGAUGGUCAGCAGUCACAAUUACCAGGGGCUGCAGGAGAUCGUCAAAAUCUCGCAGAGCCUACGGUGAGCCUGAGCACAUGGCUGAGCCUUGAGGACUGCCUGCUAGGGUGUCCUAGGGGUGGGGGCCCAUAGCAGAGGUCAAGGCCUGCAGGGGGAUGUAGCUGGCUUUGGAUAGGGCCAGGGAGAGCCCAGGAGCCGGCCGACUAUGUCCACGCAGGUGCCAUGGAUAGAGAAGCUGACAAGACAGGUCUGGAGUGGCCCAGAGAAUGCCACUGGGGCCAGACAGCCUCCGGGGACUUACACUGGGGGGAUGCAGGUGGGGAGGGGAGAGAAGCCUGUGCGGACUGCAUGCCGCUUCCAAAGCCACCAUGUUUACUACUGGAAGUGGCUGAGCUCCCUGACCUGGAAAAUUUAAGUUUUUCCAUCAUCUGUGAAGUGGUGGCCUAUGAGGUCCCGGAGCAGAAUAAAACAAAGUAUCUUACACCUGGGCACAGCCAGGUGUGUGCGCCAAGCUCCACUCCUGGGGCAAGGGCACUCACUCAAUUGGUCCUUCCCCAGCCCUGGGAGGGAGGCCCUGGAAUGAUCAGCCCCAUUUUUCAGAUGAAGAAGACACAAGAGUUUGAGAGAGAGGAAGUCACUCGCUCCAGGUCAGCCAGCCAGCAAAUUGGGGAGGUCAGCCUUCAGAGCUCUGGCAACAGACCACUGCCAUGUCACAAAUAGCUUCCCAGCUUGCGAGAGUGUCUGGUAAGGGAUGAGUGAAUGGGGGAGACGGCAGGAAACUCAGCAGCCACAAAAGGGAGAGAUGUGCAGCCUGUUCAGGAACGAACACCAGGUGGAACAAAAGCGGGGCAGAACAAGAGCAUGUGCAUCCUCUUACCACCAUGACAUUAAGGCCAUGUCUGCACCCGGACCAAGAUGGGAAGGGAGCACAGAGCUGUGACUUCAGGGAAUAGGAAGGAUGGCAACAGACAUGGGGUUCUCUAUGACUUUCCAUUUUAUCUUCCAUUUUCACAGUAAGUUUUAAAACUCUACGUCUCCAGAUUCAGCAUGAGAAGGAGAAGUUCCUUGAAUCCUCUGGGCACUGGGGACAGCCAGUCCACCCACCCUGGGUAACAAAGGGAUGUGGUCAGUCCUCACGUGAGGAGGGACUGAGUGUCCUCCAUGGACCUGCGACGUCCCGUCUGUGAGGCCCUCGCUACUUUCUGCAAAUUUCUACAUGGAUCAGAGACAGGAGAAGCAGGCACACUGAUGGUUGUCUAGCACCACGUGCCAGUUUUUGGCAGUCGGGACCACCUCGACUUCCUGUCUCCAGGCAGGGUGGGGAGGGAAUGGUCCUUAUGCCCCAGGAGAGCCUCAAGGGCUGUGCACACCCUGCAAUGCAGGCACACCCCCUUCCACCCUCUGAAUGCUCUGCCACAAACAGCCACUGCGAGCGUAAUGAAGCCCCCAAAACAGGGAGCCCUGUGACUCACCACUGCUGCUUCAGGGACAGGGACAACUGCCAGAAUUCUUAGCUCUCUUUUACAGAUGGGGAAAUUGGGACUCAGAGAGGGAUGCGAUCUCUCCAAGCUCACACAGCCAAUCUGUGGCAGGGGAAUGAGAAAGUCUGGUCUGGUCUCCUCUCCCCAUGGCUGGGGCUCUCUCUGCAGUCCCGCCCUAUGCCCAGCCUGCACCCUCACCUGCCCCUGGCUCCUGGACUGGCAACUCAAGUCGUGACACGGACACGCUUUACCGAAUUUGCCUCCACACUUUGAGCGACUCAUUAGUAUAAAAAACACGUUCCUCACCACCCUUGCCAGAAGAUUCUUGACACAACACAGUUGGGGGGUUGGCACGCUCUCUCCGUUGUUAAGUAUUUAUAUAUAGUUAGUAUUGGAAUGGUCCCCGGACACCGAUCCAAGUCUCCCGUUUUCAGAUGGGGGGCACCAGGCUUAGGGUCAGGACCCCCCUGGAACAAUUCAGUAGCACAGCUGAGACAUAAAUCCACAGAGCCUGCCCUGAACUUUCCAGCUGCUCCUUGGCAAAUGGGCCAUGGGGAAAAAAAAUAAAUAAAGGCUGCCACUUACUAAGCA